UCCUGCGGGAACGCAGAACGCCGCCGCCGGUCACGCAGUGGCCCUCGUGCUGCUGACACGCGGGGCCCCUCCUUCCCUCCGCGCGACACCUGCCGCGGGCGUCUUACCCGAGUUCUCGCUCUUGAAGUAGAUCAAGCGGGGGGGCUCGCAGCUGAGCAGAUUGAGGGUGCCCUCGGAGUUGAGCGGCCUUAUCUGCGUCGGAAAGCAGAGAGGGGCGGUAGCCGCGGGCGCCGCCCGGGAGGACACCGGCCCCGCCCCGCCCCGCCCCGCCCCGCGGCCUUACCCUGCGCAGGCCGAUGGUCUGCACCCACUCCAUGGUGCGCACGUCGAACACGUCCACGCCGUACUCGCUGUACACCGUGACGUGGGAGGGGCUGCAACCUAGCGCAGACGAGCGGGGCGGCGUGAGCGGGCGCGGGCCCCCGCGCCCUCCGCCGCCCCCGCGGCCCCCCACGGGCAGCGGCCGGGCCCCGACCCCCGCGACCUUCGGGGAGCGCCGAGGAGGCCCCGCCGCCGUGAGCGGCGGGCUCACGGCCGGUGGGGCUUAGGAGCGUUCCCGGUCCCGCUCUAGAACCGUCCUUCCCUUCGGACUCGCGCGAACUCAACCGGAUGUUUCAACGCUCUACCGUCACGUGUGUAACCGCACGGCUUUUUGCCACAGCACAGAGGCUGCAGGGGAUUUGCUCACAAAGCUGGCUUUCGUACUUAGCUUUCUGUACGGUUAUUGCAAACACAGGGACUUGAGGCCCAACGCGGCUGCUAUUUGGGGAGGGGCGGAGCGCUCUCUUUUCUGAGGCAAGUUCUGUUAAGAGACACCGAGGAGUCCGGUUUCCGAGUAAGCGUUUAAGGUCUCCAAACAGAACUGCUUCGCUCCGGGGCGACAGCCCCGCGCCCCCACGCACCCGGCUGACCCACCGGCCCUUCCGGGGAGGUCGGCACACGCCUGGCCGUGAGGACCCGCCUGCCGUGAACCCCGGAGGGGGCUCCUUCCCUAAGGGACAGGGACGCCCCGGGGGGUCGUCCUGGUGACGGCAAGCCCGCCUAGGGCACCGAACAUCACACACCGGUAAGCGUUGGCCCAGCUGGCGUUCGAAGCGGAGGGGACGUUCCCCACACUUAGAACUGUCGCGAAGAGAGAGGGAGCCGCGGCCGGGCUGCCAGGGACGGCGGGGCAGGCGGGAGGUACCCUGUCGUCACUCUGCCUCCCCCGAGUCCCCAGUUGCCACCCUGCAGAAAUGCACGGCUCGGUCUCUGUUCCCGGUCCCUCUGCCUUCCGGGGUGGAGUUGAACUCCCUCGUGUCACGCGACACUUGCCGAAGCUGAAUUUUUAAAAGAGCUCUGCCAAUUCCCAACGGGCUACGUGGUCGGCCCUUCUCUUUCCAAUGCAAAAAGGAAACCAGAAACAGGGUUUAGGAAGCAGGCAAGACGCUGGGACUCGCCGCCAGACCGUCUCAGAGGGGACAGGCCAGCAGACUUUGAGGUAGUGGCCACUGAGUCCCAGGAAGGAAAGCUGCGGCGGCACACUGCACCCGUGAAGGGCGACGUGGCGGCUCCCAGCGUCAGGCACGUCGUGACCGGAGUCACAGACACACACAGCGGCUGAGGUGCAGGACGGAAGUCAGUGCCAGUGAGGUGGGGGAGACGGGGCCUAGGAAGGAGGGACCCCAACACGAGGGAAGGAAUCAGGGGGGCAGGAGGUAGAGGAAGAGGAGGUCCACCCUGGACCGGCUAGCCCCUUGCUACGGCACAUCGAAAUGCUCCGAAAAAGAACCGUUAUUUUAACCAUGGGAGUUCUUUCUUAUGAUUAGUAAAACAUCUCUAAGAAACAAAAAAAAAGCAUACCCUGAAUAUACACGGGACAUCUCGGCGAGAAGCAUGUAUGACAUCUGAGGCCAGGACCGAGCUCACCGAGAACUCCUCGUCCCUGGUAAGAAACAGAACACUCGGGAUAUCAGAAAGAAACGUGCACGUGGGCCGGUCCUCCGCCCCACUUAUGGGAAAGGAUACAGAAGGAGGCGGGCCCCUUGCCUCCACCUGGGUAAGAGAGCACGCUGACAAAGCCAACAGAUGACUCAAGGACCCUGCACGCGUUUCAGUGGUUAGGGACGUGGGAGAACAGAAGCUCCUUCCCUGGGUCACACCGUUCUCAUCUGUGUCAGACGCCUCCGGUCACAGACACGUCACCGAACUGGCCCCUACUUGGCUACGAUCAGGUGGCCGCUUGGUGAUGGCCCCUAAGGAAGGGGGUGCAAUGUGCCAAAGUGCGGGAGGGCCCGUGUCCGAUACCCUCCGAGUCCUGGGCUCCACACCUAACACCAAGUCCCCGUGCCGCCUGCCAGCCAGCGGCCUCUUCGUCACGAGGCUGGGGCCCAUCCGAGCCCAGUGACGGAUGUGCAGUGGGGGCCGCCACGGAGGUGACCCCGCUACGCUUCUGUCCCUGAGGCCGUCGUCAGGGCGCCUGCCGCAGCCCGCCGUCCCCAAGAACAGCUGGGGACAGAGGUGCCGGGCCCUAGCCCAGGGUGGGUGCCAACGGGCGGAGGGGACUCCGGGCCCUGGGCUGAGCGCGUCCCUUGUGCUGACUCCGCCCCGCCGGCCUCCCAGGUCUGAUGCCAGGAGGGCCCGUGAUGAGAUGAGGUGUAGGAGAGGGUGUCGUGCAGCAAAGCCCAGGGCUCUAGAUCGCUGUCACAAAGGGUACUCUCGGGUUCUGACACCUUAGGCUGCACAGUGUGUCCCUGGGGUAUGUUCUCCCUGCUCUUGGGACGUGUCAUUUUCUUAUGUUUUACAAACGCCUACCUGGCAAACCGUAGUGUGCAAAAAUACCCAGGCUGCUACAGCACGCACUCUACGUGCGUACAAUGUGCACGGAUGCGAAGGUGUGACGGGGUUAAAGAUCACCAAGCAGCACAGUAAGUCGGAACUCACACGAUAGGACAGACCACACAGGACACGCACCUGAGGUCCAGGACCUGGCUGGCGACAACGCCAGGCUGGGUGGAUUUUCCUUCAGGCAGGUCGUAGAGGAAGAGCUUGCAGUCACAGACCACCGCGUAAGCCCGCUGCCACCCCUUCUUCACCCCGGUAGGCUUUGGGACCUACAGGGAACAGUGGCCACAUUCCAGUCCACGCAGCGGAGGCCGCGGCCCCGGGAGACGUCCCGCCCGUGGUUUCCUUCCAGCUGCCGAACGGCUGGCCCGCUCCUCCGGGGACAGCCCCCUCGCGCCCUUCCCAGGCUGGUGCCAGGGCCGGGUCCGGGCCCGGGCAGACUCAGGCACUACUGGGGAGGGAUCCACACGUGAUACAAGGUGAUGCACGGGCCAAGGCGGACGAGUCAGCAGACAGGCGUGUUCGCAGCACACACAGCUGCGAGGCUGCGGCCGGAGGCUGUCCGGACACAGUGGUUUUCAGGCGGCACUUGGCCACGGAGCCCUGCCUUUAAAUGCACGGCCCAGAAGGCGGGGACAAGGGGCUCUGGCAGACGGAGAUGUUUCUGUGGGGUCCUCGGAACCCGGGCCCCAGUGCCUUAGUGCCCAGGAAGGGAGGCCUCCCAGGAGCAGCGCGAAAGUCACUUCACAAAGCAACCAAGGACAGCCCUCGGGAGCAGUGGGGUGUGGCUCUCGUGUCAUGGCGCCCGAGGCCAGGAGAGCUGAGGCGGCGGAACCCCGGUCUCCGCGCGUCCUACCUUGACGUAGCCCUUGUAGGCCGUCCCUAUGCCUCUCUGCACGUCCACGCCGAGCGGCCGCUUGGACUGCUCAGGAGGGAUGGGGCACACCUGGGGAGCGCUGUCUCUGCAGGCCACGUGGCAAGCGAAGGAGCACACUGGAAAAGUGCAGGGGUGGGGGGGGGGGCACGGCCGUCAGAGCCCGCCUCCUCCGGGGCAGGACAAGGCUCAGUAAUCACCUCCCCGAGUCGCAGGAAGGGUCCAGACACCCAGUGCAGCCAGCACAUUCUGGAACACAGG